GAUGAACGCUGGCGGCGUGCCUAAUACAUGCAAGUCGAGCGGACGGACGAGAAGCUUGCUUCUCUGAUGUUAGCGGCGGACGAGUGAGUAACACGUGGAUAACCUACCUAUAAGACUGGGAUAACUUCGGGAAACCGUAGCUAAUACCGGAUAAUAUUUUGAACCGCAUGGUUCAAAAGUGAAAGACGGUCUUGCUGUCACUUAUAGAUGGAUCCGCGCUGCAUUAGCUAGUUGGUAAGGUAACGGCUUACCAAGGCAACGAUGCAUAGCCGACCUGAGAGGGUGAUCGGCCACACUGGAACUGAGACACGGUCCAGACUCCUACGGGAGGCAGCAGUAGGGAAUCUUCCGCAAUGGGCGAAAGCCUGACGGAGCAACGCCGCGUGAGUGAUGAAGGUCUUCGGAUCGUAAAACUCUGUUAUUAGGGAAGAACAUAUGUGUAAGUAACUGUGCACAUCUUGACGGUACCUAAUCAGAAAGCCACGGCUAACUACGUG
rnacentral:rRNA from 1 species